GGAAGCCUCUUUUUUUGCGAAUAGGAAUCCUCUCCCUGAUCCCUGCUCUGGAACCUUUUAAUAUCCACUGCACCAGGACAUCCUUCCAAUCUCGCAUUCUAUGCCCAACGAAAACUGAAAUCCAAUGCAGUGGAGAAGGCGGUACAUCAAAGAAAGUUUGUAUCUGAUUGGACAGCCUCUAUUGUUGAUGAAGUUCUGGAGAAGAGGAACUAUUGCAGGCUGGUCGCAGGUAUGGAAGGAGCAAGAAGAGAGUAGGUUUUUUGCUUUUGAGGAUUUUUAUGUUGUGUUGUACUACUGAGAUCUGGGACGUACAGCCUAGAGAUUUGUUUUGGGGAAUAUUGAUAAUGUGUUUUCUUUAGUUUCAGACAUCUGAAGAUACACAUUACUUGGAUGGCUAAAUUAGUAGGUGCUACACAAGCAACUAGGUGAUUCAAUUCAGCGAAGGCGUGGUCGUACCUCUGCACAGCGAACUCAAGCACCACUUCUAAUAUUGUUGGAAAGUGGAUAAGUCGUUUUGGAGCAUUACACGAUUUGUUCAGUCUACUUCGCUAUGUUCCUUACAUGCAAAAGGUAUGGGUUUGUUUACUUGAUAUGUUCUUUCAAUUUUUCCUCACCCAGUGAUCCACAUCUUAAAAGCACAAACUACUCUGUUCAGAUGGAAUAUCUUUGAUAGUGUUGUUGCAGACUUGAAGGUAUAUGCAUCAGGAGGUCAAGGUGGCAGUGGCACCGUAACAAUAUUUAUUUGAAACUACACGCGAGGUCAAAAAAUGAUUCUAAGUUAACCUCUUUCCUCGUAUAUUUUUGUCUGCUUGGUUUGUUUUAAUGUCGUUCUUUUGUUAAAUUGAUGUACUAAAUAAUUAAGAACAUAUUUGUAUUCAUUUUUAAAAUUUCAUGCAUCUGGUGUAUGG
rnacentral:lncRNA from 1 species